rnacentral:lncRNA from 1 species
AGACGUUUUAAGACAAACACCAGCUGCCCCGCACUGCUGUGAAUGUUGCAGAGAACACAGGGAUGUGGGACUGCUUCGUCUUGUGCUAUCUGGAGCCUGAGUUUAUGAGGGGCUGUGUGUUUAUCUCGGGAUUGGGAAUAUAACCAACUCCUGAUUACCUUACCAGGGCUAAUGGAUAGUCAUAAAUAUUCCAAGCAGCUGAAAAAAAAUCGAAGAAUAAUUUUUGCAGACACAUUUUUAAGCUGGGGAUGACCUUGAACGUCUGAGGAUGACCUGGAACGUCUGAGGAUGACCUGGAACGUCGUCUGGUCCUCACAGGUGCAGAGAUGACAGGAAGCUGAGGUAAAGAGAAGAUGCUGGAAAUGUGAGAGACAAGCUAGCAAAGUGGCCUCUGCAUCAGCUCCUGCCUCCAAGUCCCUGCCACAUCUGAGUUCCCGUCCUCACUUCCUCUGGUGAUGAAAUGUGAUAUGGAAACGUAAGUGAAGAAACCCUUCACUCCCCCAAGUCACUUCGUUCACGGUGUUUCACACCAUGUUAGAGCAAUAGCAACUCUAAGAUCAUCGGACUCCAGGAGUCUCUCCUACAUAUGCAAAGAUUCUUUUUAAAAGAAUCACAGAUUAGAACGAAAACCUGUUUUCUUCAGUAGAGCUUCAGCCCAGCUUGCAUUAACCAAAACUGACCCAAAAUUCUGUGGCCAAAAUAAAUGACUCUGCACUGAAUUUGCGGCUGUUAGCCUGUAGAAAUCAAUUAUUACACAGGAGUAUCCUUUCAAAAUUUAUAAUGCUUGUUUCUUUUCAUUUAAUUUUUCCCUAAGAUGGAG